AACCUGAUUCGCUGUCAAGGCAACCAGUAUUGAGAACGCCCACUAGCAACAUCAUCGCCAGCCCCUGGCGACAUGCAGCGACAAAAGUCACUGCUAGUGUGAAUGCAGCUUUAGGCAGGUCAUUCUAACCA